AUUAAUUAGGCAGAAUUAUUGUAUCAAAUUUAGAAUUUGAAUAUGGGUAACCAAUUAAUA
rnacentral:tRNA from 1 species